UCCCAGGACCCUGAGACCAUGACCGGAGCCGAAGGCAGACGCUUAACCAACUGAGCCACCCAGGUUCUUCUGUGGUUGAGACAGAUGAUUGUUAACACCUGCCGCCAAGUUCUUCGGGUUGUUUCCUGCGAGCCCAGUGAAGCAGAACUCAGGCCUCCAGCGUCUGCUUGUCCACACCUAAAGGUGUUUCCUGAGGGCCGAUGGGGCCCUGCUUCACAGGUAGCUCCACAGACCACACAGCAAGGCCCCGAAGAAGUGACGCUACCUCCUGGCACGCACAGGGGGCCUCCGGCUCCUCCACUCCACCUCCAGCCGUGACUCUGCUGCCCGUGCCAGAUGCUGAGUGAGAUAAUGUUUGGGAGCUGUUAGAAAUGCAAAUCUGGUCCCAGGAUUAUGUGUCUGGUGGUACUGGAGAGUUAAGAUUACAGACUCACCUUUUUCUUCUUUUGAAGAAUCUCUGCUGGAAGCAGCAUAGGUUUUCAUAAUAUGGAUGUACCGCAUUCACUUAACCGACUGAAAAACAGAGCCAGCCAGAUCCAUGGCAGAUGAUACCGCGCUGCAGCUGAGGUUGAGAACCACCCCUCCAUGAUGACGAAGUCUUACCUGUAUC